CCUACGGGUGGCAGCAGUAGGGAAUAUUGCUCAAUGGGGGAAACCCUGAAGCAGCAACGCAGCGUGGAGGAUGAAGGUCUUAGGAUUGUAAACUUCUUUUUUGAGAGAAGAUAAUGACCGUAUCUCACGAACAAGCACCGGCUAAUUCCGUGCCAGCAGCCCCGGUAAUACGGAGGGUGCAAGCGUUACUCGGAAUGACUGGGCGUAAAGCGUGCGCAGGCGGGUUUGUAAGUCAGAUGUGAAAUCCUGUAGCUUAACUAGAGAACUGCAUUUGAAACUAGGAGUCUGGAGUGUGGGAGAGGUAGGUGGAAUUCGUGGUGUAGGGGUAAAAUCCGUAGAUAUCAAGAGGAAUACUCAUUGCGAAGGCGACCUACUGGAACAUUACUGACGCUGAUGCACGAAAGCGUGGGGAGCAAACAGGAUUAGAUACCCCUGUAGUC
rnacentral:rRNA from 1 species